rnacentral:rRNA from 1 species
UACGUAGGGGGGCAAGCGUUUGUCCGGAUUUAUUGGGCGUAAAGCGCGUGUAGGCGGCCAGGUAGGUCGGUUGUGAAAAUUGGAGGCUCAACCUCCAGACGUCGAUCGAAACCAUCUGGCUAGAGUCCGGAAGAGGAGAAUGGAAUUCCUGGUGUAGCGGUGAAAUGCGUAGAUAUCAGGAAGAACACCGGUGGCGAAAGCGCUCUGCUAGGCCGCAACUGACACUGAGGGACGAAAGCUAGGGGAGCGAA